rnacentral:rRNA from 1 species
GAUGAACGCUGGCGGCGUGCCUAAUACAUGCAAGUCGAGCGAACGGACGAGAAGCUUGCUUCUCUGAUGUUAGCGGCGGACGGGUGAGUAACACGUGGAUAACCUACCUAUAAGACUGGGAUAACUUCGGGAAACCGGAGCUAAUACCGGAUAAUAUUUUGAACCGCAUGGUUCAAAAGUGAAAGACGGUCUUGCUGUCACUUAUAGAUGGAUCCGCGCUGCAUUAGCUAGUUGGUAAGGUAACGGCUUACCAAGGCAACGAUGCAUAGCCGACCUGAGAGGGGGAUCGGCCACACUGGAACUGAGACACGGUCCAGACUCCUACGGGAGGCAGAAGUAGGGAAUCUUCCGCAAGGGGCGAAAGCCUGACGGAGCAACGCCGCGUGAGUGAUGAAGGUCUUCGGAUCGGAAAACUCUGUUAUUAGGGAAGAACAUAUGUGUAAGUAACUGUGCACAUCGUGACGGUACCUAAUCAGAAGGCCACGGCUAACUACG